AUCCAACGAAGCAGGAGCUGA
rnacentral:miRNA from 1 species